AGUGAACGCUGGCGGUAGGCCUAACACAUGCAAGUCGAACGGCAGCACAGUAAGAGCUUGCUCUUACGGGUGGCGAGUGGCGGACGGGAGAGGAAUACAUCGGAAUCUACUUUUUCGUGGGGGAUAACGUAGGGAAACUUAAGCUAAUACCGCAUACGACCUACGGGUGAAAGCAGGGGAUCGUCGGACCUUGCGCGAAUGAAUGAGCCGAUGUCGGAUUAGCUAGUUGGCGGGGUAAAGGCCCACCAAGGCGACGAUCCGUAGCUGGUCUGAGAGGAUGUUCAGCCACACUGGAACUGAGACACGGUCCAGACUCCUACGGGAGGCAGCAGUGGGGAAUAUUGGACAGUGGGCGCAAGCCUGCUCCAUCCGUACCGCGUGUGUGAAGAAGGCCUUCGGGUUGUAAAGCCCUUUUGUUGGGAAAGAAAAGCAGCAGGUUAAUACCCCGCUGUUCUGACGGUACCCAAAGAAUAAGCACCGGCUAACUUCGUG
rnacentral:rRNA from 1 species